UGAAUGAAAAGGCACAAGCAAUUGCAAGACAUAUUUCUUUAGUAAAAAGGCCAACUAACGUUAGGUAACUAGCUAACAUACCAGUACAUACUGCUCUAUUGCUAUUGCUCUAUUGCUAUGUGGUUCGUAAGGAUACCGUAGCUAACAAAUUGUCAGUCAACAUAACGUGUAACGUAACUGAUUUGAAAAGUCAUUGCUUUCUUACGCUCAACAUUUUCUUAACAUUUGUCAUAAUUCGUUAAAGCAAUGAAUUUGCAUCCGCUCUCGUCAGACUUCGGCUGCAUAUUUUCCGCCAUUUUCUUCAAAACUGAAAACGGUGUGAAGCCACGCCCAUUUUCUGUAUAAUUGCAUUAUGGCCCUAAAAGCACGGAAAUAGUGUCCACUGCUUGUAUACUUCGUAUUUUGGCGAAUUUAGUGCGACAUCUGGGAACUUUUGGCAUACUAACUAUAUCCAUACUAUGACCAAUAAGCAUACUAUAUACUCAUGUCACAAAUAGUACUGUUAGUAUGAAUAUUUGAACACAGCUGUGGUGUUUCUGAUCUAAGCUCCUACAUGGCAGCGUCGACCACUUUGCCAGUCAAUGAAAGAUGACCUGACAGAGAGAAGUGAUGACAACAAGUGCAGACUCUAACUUGACAAUGUAUUUCAAAUGUAAGUAACUAUGUUUUUACAUGUGCUUAACAAAUAGCUAACCAAGUUUUAUAGCUAGCUAACACAUUCAAAUUAACGAUCUGAGGAAAUUGUUUCUGACAUGUGAUCAAUGACUCAGUCAAUUCCAAAUAUACAAUACUGUUAAAUUGUGUUAAUACUGAUUAUCACACUAAUAAGUUGCUCUUGUGUAUCAUGUGCUUUAUCUGUUUUUGAGCAAAUUCCAUCUGGGAGGGAAGCUGACAAGACAUUGAAGAUCCCACCGACUGGGACAGGAACUUCUAAGGGGGAGCUUUAUAUAUAAAUGGAUGAGACUAUUGGUAGAGGCCCUCUAUUGCACCCCCCGUUCUGGUCGCCUCAACCAUUAAUUCAGAGGUGGUGUGGUGGUCUCCCCUUGGGCUCAGGAGGCUAGGGAGAAAGCUGUGCCAAAGAAGAGGAACAAUGUCCUUCUGAAUUUCCUCAGAGAGACAGGAGAGGAGGGACAAGGAGGCUCGGGAGAAAGAGGAGAAGAGAGAGGAAGAGGCUGCCAAGAGAGGGGACAAGUUCCUCUCUCUUUUUGAAAAAUGUGUAGAUAAGGUUUGAGAGUUUUGAGAGAGAUGUGAGUUAGGGUUUUAAAGUUACAUUUUAAAGUUUAAAUGGUUAAAUUGUAAUUAAGCAAGGGUUAACAUGAUCCACUGUUCCCUGUGUCUCUAUAUAGUUAGAUAUUGAUAACACCAUAACAACCAUGUAGCAAUUCAAGUGAAUUGACUUAUGGUGAAUUUUGAUGCUGAACUAUAUUUGAUGUUACAAGGGCAAAACAGGAACAUGGUAAAUUCAGAGAAUUGUUGUUUACGUGUUUUACAUCACAUGUACUUCUAACCCAGCAGGGACACGGGAGGGGGGGUAUGCACUCACGACUGUUAGUUGCUCUGGAUUUGAGCGUCUCGUAAAUGACUCAAAUGUAAAAUCACUACAUAAUCAGUGGGCCUCUUUAAUGUGCUCCCAGCUGACCCUCUCUUGUGUGUGGUAAUGAAUCUCAAUUGUAAUAUCCUUGAUAUCUCCCCUCCUUAUCAAAGCACAUUGGAGCAGACUAUCUGAGCUUCCUCCAAUGCGUUUUGUGAGGAGGAGGAGAGAGGAAGCGAGUAAUCAAGGAAAUACGAUCGAGAUACAGCUGUUUGAGCGCAAGAACUAGAAUAAAUUAAACUGACACAUUCCAUAAUUCUACAUGAGGCACUCAUCUGUUCUACAUGAUGCAGCAUUGUGCCCACACUAAACACAACUCAGGGCUCUUUCUCAACCUUUUUAUCCCUGUUUUUUUCACGGUCCUUCUCAUCCCAUAGGUUUAAGAAAGGGGGGAGGAGAGAGCAUGUAAGGAAACAAGGAAAUCCAAUUGAUGUUUGUGAUUGUCCCAGAAUGGAUCAGAGAAGAUCCAAGGUCCCUCCCCUCCAUCUCUUGGUUUAAAGAAGAAUCAGAGCAGAGUGUAAGGACCUUGGGCCACCUGUACAAUCAUGUAUACAGGAAACAAAUGAAAGACAAUUGACAAAGUUUAGGACAUAAGUUGCAUUGUGUAAAACAGAUAUGAACGUCUCUGCAUAUGUUCAGCACUAUUAAUGAUAAUAAAAAUGUAUACACCACCUGUUAUACACCACCACCACCAGGCCUGUCGGCUAGUCCUCCACCACCAGGCAGGUCGGCUAGUCCUCCACCACCAGGCCUGUCGGCUAGUCCUCCACCACCAGGCCUGUCGGCUAGUCCUCCACCACCAGGC